CACGCUUCCGUGAUGGCCACAACAUCGUAGUCCCAAGUACCGAUCCACGCCUUAAGUUCACCCACCUUAUUUCUGAUCCUCCUUGCGUUGAAGUAUACACACUUAAACCCAUCUG